UACAGAGGGUGCAAACGUUGUUCGGAAUUACUGGGCAUAAAGAGCACGUAGGCGGCUCAUCAAGUCACGCGUGAAAUCCCCCGGCUCAACCGGGGAACUGCGCCUGAUACUGGUGGGCUAGAGGACGGUAGGGGUGAGUGGAACUCUAGGUGGAGCGGUGAAAUGCGUAGAGAUCUAGAGGAACACCGGUGGCGAAAGCGGCUCACUGGACCGUAACUGACGCUGAGGUGCGAAAGAUAGGGUAGCAAACGGG
rnacentral:rRNA from 1 species